AGGAGUUCAAGACCAGCCUGGCCAACAUGGCGAAACCCCCUCCUCUAUUAAAAAUACAAAAAUUGGCUGGGCUUUGUGGUGCGUGCUUGCAAUCUCAGCUACUAGGGAGGCUGAGGCAGGAGAAUCGCCUGAACUCGGGAGACGGAGAUUUCAGUGAGCCGAGAUCAUGCCACUGCCAGCCUGGGUGACAGAGUGAGACUCUGUCUCCAAAAAAAAAAAAAAGAAGAGAAAGAAAAAAAUAUGCCAUUUUAGGCCAGGUGUGGUGGCUCACACCUGUAAUCCCAGCACUUUGGGAGGCUGAGACAGGUGGAUUGCUUGAGCCUAGGAGUUCGAGACCAGCCUGGCAACAUGGCGAAAACUUGUCUCUACAAAAAAUACAAAAAUUAGCCAAGUGUGGUGGUGCACACCUGUGGUCCAAGCUACUCGAGAGACUGAGGUGGGAGGAUUGCUUGAGCCCAGGAGGUUGAGGCUGGGGUGAGUUGAGAUCAUGCCACUGCAGUCCAGCCUGGGCAACAGAGGAAGACCCUGUCUCAAGAAAAAAAAAAAAAAGAAGAAGAAGAAAAGAAAAAAAUGCCACCACUUUAGUAUUACUUUUAUAACAUAAAAUUUACCAUUUAAACUAUUUAUAGGUGUUCAAGUCAGUGGCAUUAAUUACAUUUACAAUGUUGUGCAACCACCGCCACCACUAUUUCUGAAAAUCUUUUCAUCACCCCAAACAGAAAACUCUAUCCAUUAAGCAAUUGUGAAAACUGCCGCUAUGAAUGGGGGUGUACACAUAUCUUUCCAGUCCUUGCUCUCAAUUCUUCUGAGCAAAUAUCCAGAAGUGGAAUUGCUGGGUCACACGGUAAUUCUAUAUUUAAAUUUUGGAGGAACCGCCAAACUGUUUUUUUAUAGUAGUGGCACCAUUUCACAUUCCCACUGGUGACGCCCAGGGUUCCAAUUUCUUCACAGCCUCUCCAACGCUUGUUGUUUUCUGUUAUUUUUUGGUUUUGUUUUAUUUUGUUUUUAACAAUAGUCAUCCUGAGAGUAGUACUUUUAAAACCAGAAAUAAGUAAGAAAAGAAAUAUUCCCCAGAGCUUCUCCAGGCUACAGUCUAUGCCACCAGGAAAGACUGAAUCAUUGAGACCCAUAGGAGAGCGUGUGCUGGGAGGUCCCUGUGGGCACCAGGGAGGUGUGUUUGAACUCCAGCCCAGCCCACAUUAGCUUACCCAACAGUCCCUCAGAGCCAGCACAAUUUCAGGCCAUUAUCUCCCUGGUCACCACUGGCUCCUCAGGUGACUUGGAAGUAGAUGACUCCUCUGUGGGCCUGGGUUAGUGCCUCAAAGGCAUGCUGACCAGCACUGGUUUGGGCCAGGCUGAGAUGCUAGCCACACUCCUAUGCCCAUCCCCAAGUUCAAAGGUCAGAAGUCCUCUGAGAACAUCCAGGGUCACUACCCCUGAGGUCUCUGGUGUACUACGUGGCCCUGAUUAGGGCAAAGGGAAGUGAUCUGAGGGCCACUCUCUUCCUGUACAUACAGGGCCUUGCUGCUCUUGAGGGAUUGUCCUGGCAGGAUCAAAAGCAGCUCCUGCAUGGGGACGCCGUGUCCUCCUGCUGUUAUCAUAGUAUGCCCUGUGCUCCCAGGAGGAGGCUGAGGUAUGUCCUGGGGACAGAAACAACAAGCUUAGGGUUAUUUGGGCACUCCCUUGUCUCCUGUCUGAGAGCGUGCAGGGUGGAGUCAUGCUAUCUUGCUGUGUGAUGACAAGUAGCUGACAAUGCAGGGGCACAAUAAAAACCCCCGAAUGGCCCACAUCUGAGGAGCGAGGGUUUGGUGAGCUGCUGGUUCUGAGAUAAUGGAUUGGUGAUAUGGGAACAAAAGACCUAGGACCUGGAAUCAUAAGAUCACAGGGCAUUAGGGUUGGAGGGAACAACCUUGUCUCUCAGCCCUAAUUCCUUUGAUAUCAUUUAAGGAAUGAUCUUAACUCUAGGCUAACAGCCCUCGAGCUCAGGCACACCAUUUGUUUGUUCAUCAUUGUAUUUGCAGGAUGUGGUAGCUAGCCCUCACAAUGGUGGCUGAUGUGUGAUCAAUAGGCUAUGUCAUGGUAUUUCACUUCUAAGUCUAGAUCAUAAAGGGCAUUGUGGCACCUACCUUGAUUUCUCUUGGAUCACUCAUUCUGAGGGAAGAUAGCUGCCAUGUUGGGAGGACGUGCAAGCAGCCCUGUGAAGAGGUCAACACAGGGGGGAACUGAAGCCCCUUCCAAACAGCUAGCACCAACUUGCCAGCCAUGUAAAGUGAUUCACCUUGGAAACAGAUCCUCCAGCCUCAGCCAAGCCUUCAGAUGCAACCUCAUGACAGACUCUGAACCAGAAACACACAGCCAAGCUGCUGACCCACAGACUUUUACAGGUCUCCUGCCCUCAACUCUGCCUGACGUUCAAGAGAAUAAACUUCCAG
rnacentral:lncRNA from 1 species